AGCCUGCCCAGUGACAAAGUUCAACGGCCGCGGUACCCUAACCGUGCGAAGGUAGCAUAAUCACUUGUUCUUUAAAUGAGGACUCGUAUCAACGGCACUACGAGGGCUAUACUGUCUCCUUUUUCUAAUCAGUGAAACUGAUCUCCCCGUGAAGAAGCGGGGAUCAAAAUAUAAGACGAGAAGACCCCAUGGAGCUUUAAACUCACUAUACACCUCUGUGCCUUUAUGCCACUAGACACAAGAGAUCUGCGUACUAGUUUUAGGUUGGGGGGACCACGGAGUAUAAUUUAACCUCCAUAACAAAUGGGCUAACACCCUUAUCUACGAGACACAACUCUAAGAAUUACUAAACUAAUGCUUAUGACCCGAUAUUCGAUCAAUGAACCAAGUUACCCUGGGGAUAACAGCGCAAUCUACUUCAAGAGCCCGUAUCGACAAGUGGGUUUACGACCUCGAUGUUGGAUCAGGGUAUCCCGGUGGUGCAGCCGCUACCGACGGUUCGUUUGUUCAACGAUUAAAACCCUACGUGAUCU
rnacentral:rRNA from 1 species